CCUACGGGAGGCAGCAGUGGGGAAUUUUCCGCAAUGGGCGAAAGCCUGACGGAGCAAUACCGCGUGAGGGAGGAAGGCUCUUGGGUUGUAAACCUCUUUUGUCAGGGAAGAAGAUCUGACGGUACCUGACGAAUCAGCAUCGGCUAACUCCGUGCCAGCAGCCGCGGUAAUACGGGGGAUGCAAGCGUUAUCCGGAAUUAUUGGGCGUAAAGCGUCCGCAGGUGGUUGUUCAAGUCUGCUGUUAAAGCAUGGGGCUUAACUCCAUAUAGGCAGUGGAAACUGGACGACUAGAGUACGGUAGGGGUCGCGGGAAUUCCCAGUGUAGCGGUGAAAUGCGUAGAUAUUGGGAAGAACACCAGUGGCGAAAGCGCGCGGCUGGACCUGUACUGACACUGAGGGACGAAAGCUAGGGGAGCGAAAGGGAUUAGAUACCCCUGUAGUCCUAGCUGUAAACGAUGGAUACUAGGUGUUGCCCGUAUCGACCCGGGCAGUGCGUACGCUACGACGUUAGUAUCCGUCCGUCGGGUAGGUACGCGACGCGAGCGUGAACGUUAAACGGUAAGUUAGUACGGCGUGAGACGUGCCGAACGGACGACGACGAGGGAGUAGG
rnacentral:rRNA from 1 species